rnacentral:rRNA from 1 species
AGAGUUUGAUCAUGGCUCAGGACGAACGCUGGCGGCGUGCUUAACACAUGCAAGUCGAACGGAAAGGCCCUUCGGGGUACUCGAGUGGCGAACGGGUGAGUAACACGUGGGUGAUCUGCCCUGCACUCUGGGAUAAGCCUGGGAAACUGGGUCUAAUACCGGAUAGGACCGCAUGCUUCAUGGUGUGUGGUGCAAAGCUUUUGCGGUGUGGGAUGAGCCCGCGGCCUAUCAGCUUGUUGGUGGGGUAAUGGCCUACCAAGGCGACGACGGGUAGCCGGCCUGAGAGGGUGACCGGCCACACUGGGACUGAGAUACGGCCCAGACUCCUACGGGAGGCAGCAGUGGGGAAUAUUGCACAAUGGGCGCAAGCCUGAUGCAGCGACGCCGCGUGAGGGAUGACGGCCUUCGGGUUGUAAACCUCUUUCAGUAGGGACGAAGCGAAAGUGACGGUACCUACAGAAGAAGGACCGGCCAACUACGUGCCAGCAGCCGCGGUAAUACGUAGGGUCCGAGCGUUGUCCGGAAUUACUGGGCGUAAAGAGCUCGUAGGUGGUUUGUCGCGUUGUUCGUGAAAACUCACAGCUUAACUGUGGGCGUGCGGGCGAUACGGGCAGACUAGAGUACUGCAGGGGAGACUGGAAUUCCUGGUGUAGCGGUGGAAUGCGCAGAUAUCAGGAGGAACACCGGUGGCGAAGGCGGGUCUCUGGGCAGUAACUGACGCUGAGGAGCGAAAGCGUGGGGAGCGAACAGGAUUAGAUACCCCGGUAGUCCAA